CCUACGGGGGGCAGCAGUAGGGAAUAUUGGGCAAUGGAGGCAACUCUGACCCAGCCAUGCCGCGUGAAGGAAGACAGUCUUAUGGAUUGUAAACUUCUUUUAUCAUAGAGUAACCACAGGGACGUGUUCCCUGUCUGCAAGUAUAUGAUGAAUAAGCAUCGGCUAACUCCGUGCCAGCAGCCGCGGUAAUACGGAGGAUGCAAGCGUUAUCCGGAUUUAUUGGGUUUAAAGGGUGCGCAGGCGGUCUGGUAAGUCAUGGGUGAAAUUUUACAGCUUAACUGUAAGCGUGCCUAUGAUACUGCUGGGCUAGAGUUUAAGAGACGUAAUUGGAAUGUGAUGUGUAGCGGUGAAAUGCUUAGAUAUGUCACAGAACGCCGAUCGUGAAGACAGAUUACGAACUUAAUACAGACGCUCAAGCACGAAAGCGUGGGGAUCAAACAGGCUUAGAUACCCCAGUAGUC
rnacentral:rRNA from 1 species